UGCAUAUUUAAAAUAAUGUAAACAGCUGAUUCUCUGUAACGUGAAGUCUAUAAAUCAUGAUUUGCGGACUUCAGUAACCCAGCCAGAGGUUACGGGCCUAUUGCAGGAGCGGGUGGGUGAGGUUCUGUGGCAUGUGAUGUGCAGGAGGUCAGACUAGAUGAUCU